rnacentral:rRNA from 1 species
GAUGAACGCUAGCUACAGGCUUAACACAUGCAAGUCGAGGGGCAGCAUGAACUUAGCUUGCUAAGUUUGAUGGCGACCGGCGCACGGGUGAGUAACACGUAUCCAACCUGCCGAUGACUCGGGGAUAGCCUUUCGAAAGAAAGAUUAAUACCCGAUGGCAUAGUUCUUCCGCAUGGUAGAACUAUUAAAGGAUUUCGGUCAUCGAUGGGGAUGCGUUCCAUUAGGUUGUUGGCGGGGUAACGGCCCACCAAGCCUUCGAUGGAUAGGGGUUCUGAGAGGAAGGUCCCCCACAUUGGAACUGAGACACGGUCCAAACUCCUACGGGAGGCAGCAGUGAGGAAUAUUGGUCAAUGGACGAGAGUCUGAACCAGCCAAGUAGCGUGAAGGAUGACUGCCCUAUGGGUUGUAAACUUCUUUUAUACGGGAAUAAAGUGAGGCACGUGUGCCUUUUUGUAUGUACCGUAUGAAUAAGGAUCGGCUAACUCCGUG